rnacentral:rRNA from 1 species
GAUGAACGCUAGCGGCAGGCUUAACACAUGCAAGUCGAGGGGUAACAUUGUAGCUUGCUACAGAUGACGACCGGCGCACGGGUGCGUAACGCGUAUACAAUCUGCCUUGUACUGAGGGAUAGCCUUUGGAAACGAAGAUUAAUACCUCAUAGUAUUACAGUAUCGCAUGAUACAGUAAUUAAAGGUUACGGUACAAGAUGAGUAUGCGUCCUAUUAGCUAGAUGGUGUGGUAACGGCAUACCAUGGCGACGAUAGGUAGGGGCCCUGAGAGGGGGAUCCCCCACACUGGUACUGAGACACGGACCAGACUCCUACGGGAGGCAGCAGUGAGGAAUAUUGGACAAUGGAGGCAACUCUGAUCCAGCCAUGCCGCGUGCAGGAAGACUGCCCUAUGGGUUGUAAACUGCUUUUAUACAGGAAGAAACAGAACUACGUGUAGUUCCUUGACGGUACUGUAAGAAUAAGGAUCGGCUAACUCCG